AUGGGCUCCAUAAAGGACAGAAAUGGUCUGGACCUAACAGAAGCAGAAGAUAUUAAGAAGAAGUGGCAAGAAUACACGGAAGAACUGUACAAAAUAGAUCUUCACGACCCAGAUAAUCAUGAUGAUGUGAUCACUAAUCUAGAGCCAGAUAUCUUGGAAUGUGAAGUCAAGUGGGCCUUAGAAAGUAUCACUAGGAACAAAGCUAGUGGAGGUGAUGGAAUUCCAGUGGAGCUGUUUCAAAUCCUGAAAGAUGAUGCUGUGAAAGUGCUGCACUCAAUAUGCCAGCACAUUUGGAAAACUCAGCAGUGGCCACAGGACUGGAAAAGGUCAGUGUUCAUUCCAAUUCCAAAGAAAGGCAAUGCAAAAGAAUGCUCAAACUACUGCACAAUUGCACUCAUCUCACAUGCUAGUAAAGUAAUACUCAAAAUUUUCCAAGCCAGGCUUCAGCAAUACGUGAACUGUGAACUCCCUGAUGUUCAAGCUUGUUUUAGAAAAGGCAGAGGAACCAGAGAUCAAAUUGCCAACAUCCGCUGGAUCAUGGAAAAAGCAAGAGAGUUCCAGAAAAAGAUCUAUUUCUGCUUUAUUGACUAUGCCAAAGCCUUUGACUGUAUGGAUCACAGGAAACUGUGGAAAAUUCUGAAAGAGAUGGGAAUACCAGACCACCUGACCUACCUCUUGAGAAAUCUGUAUGCAGGUCAAGAAGCAACAGUUAGAACUGGACAUGGAACAACAGACUGGUUCCAAAUAGGAAAAGGAGUAGGUCAAGGCUGUAUAUUGUCACCCUGCUUAUUUAACUUCUAUGCAGAGUACAUCAUGAGAAACGCUGGACUGGAAGAAGCACAAGCUGGAAUCAAGAUUGCCGGGAGAAAUAUCAAUAACCUCAGACAUGCAGAUGACACCACCCUUAUGGCAGAAAGUGAAGAGGAACUGAAAAGCCUCUUGAUGAAACUGAAAGAGGAGAGUGAAAAAGUUGGCUUAAAGCUCAACAUUCAGAAAAUGAAGAUCAUGGCAUCCAGUCCCACCACUUCAUGGGAAAUAGAUGGGGAAACAGUGGAAGCAGUGUCAGACUUUAUUUUGAGGGGCUCCAAAAUCACUGCGGAUGGUGACUGCAGCCAUGAAAUUAAAAGACACUUAGUCCUUGGAAGAAAAGUUAUGACCAACCUAGAUAGUAUAUUCAAAAGCAGAGACAUUACUUUGCCGACUAAGGUCUGUCUAGUCAAGGCUAUGGUUUUUCCAGUGGUCAUGUAUCGAUGUGAGAGUUGGACUGUGAAGAAGGCUGAGUGCUGA
rnacentral:lncRNA from 1 species